UUUUGGUUCAGUGCAUUAUUGCACUCCGGUCUAGAAUUGCAUGUGUUUGGAAACAGUGUAAAAAAGCCUCUAUUAUCGAUGGAAAUUUGCAAACACCCGAUGAUUUACAUUGAUUUAGCGGUGGAAAACUACGUUUUUUUUUGAAGUAAAAAAUCACGCCCUAUUUCAUCGAGAGAAAUAGAAGAGGAAUUUAUGCUCUUCCACUGGCACGACACUCUGAGAUCUGAGCAAUGACUAUUAUUCUCAGAUUUGAGAUAUGAGGAGUUCGAAACAUCCGCCAACAGCCUUGAUAAUCCGAGCGUCAGCGUUUAAAUCUGCGUUGAGAUCUGAACAAUGAACCUCGUCUCUGUUGAAGUUUGCAUUGAGGUCUGCGUUUAAGCAGUUUUUCUCUUGUUCAAAGCUCCUGACCAACAUCGUUUUUAGAUCCCCUUCAACGUAUCUCUAAAAGUGAAAUGUUAGGACUCCUCGUGUCUGAGUUGGACAAAGAAAUACCCUGGCAUCCUUGUAACAUAGCCCAGAACCAGGAAAACACAGGCAGGUUUGCAGGGUUGUUAACUGUACCAAAUCAAUAAUGUCCUAAACAAAGACUAUACCAAUGACCUUGUAAAUCUUCCCUCAUCUUGAGGGAGGGAAACAAUGUCUGAAGUAACUACUUUCUAUACAAAAUAUUUACUGAAUCAAGUGCUUUACAUUUUGGAUUGUUAAGUA